GACAGAGAAAUUAAGAAACUUGCCCAAGGUUUACAGUAGAAAGUACUUAGCUAGUAACAUAAAUAAACAUACCUCAGGCCAAAAAGUAGAUUAAAUUAUUGGGUGCCACUAGAGACCAUGAAUACGGUCAAGGAAACUGACUUAAGCUCAGUAUGUGGAGGAGGAACUAUAUAGAACUAUCUUAAAAAUGAAUAAACGGGAGUUCCCAUUGUGGAUCAGCGAGUUAAGAACCCAGCAUAGUGCCCCGAGGAUGCGGGUUUGAUCCCUGGCCUCGCUCAGUGGGUUAAGGAUCUGGAGUUGUCACAAGCCUCAUCGUAGGUCGCAGAUGUAGCUUAGAUCCAGUUCCUGUGGCUGUGGUGUAGGCCUCAGCUGAAGCUCUAAUUUAACCUCUAGCCUAGGAACUUCCACAUGCCACAGGUGAGGCUAGAGACUGGGUAGAUGACUUUUAAGUCUCUUUCUACCUCGGUUUUGUGGAAUUGAUUCUGAUAAAUAUCUUGACUUCUUUCUCUCAUUAUUAUUCCUUUAAUGCAGUGUCCCUAAUUCUUACUAGUUUAAUGGACUGUUAUGAAAAAGUUUUAUGUUUCUGUCACUAGAAUUGACUAUCCUCAAAAAAACAUGGUUUUUGCCCAUUUUAAUCACAGGCAUACCUUAGUUUGCCUGUUUUAAGUGAAUGUCCUCACACAAGUAAUCCUGACGUCCAUACCUCUUUAAAAUUGAAUUUAAAAAAUGCUUCAAUGGAGAAAAGCUGUUGCAGCAGUCAUAUUUCCAUCACCCUCCUAGUGGAUUUCCAUGACUGUCCUCUUUUUUAUUGUAUUACACCUCCAAAUCUUGCAGCUAUGUUGAUUAUACAUUAGGCAUCUGCUUAUGACCUUGUCCUGGGUCUUUCCUUUGGUCAUUUGGAUCCUAAUGAAAAGAAAAGAAAAGAAAAGGGAGCAUGAUUCAAAGUGACAGACUUUGUUGCCUAACUGUCAGACUGACUUCCUGAUCACAUUUUUUCUGGGUCCUUAGACAGAAAGCCAAUGUUUAUUACCAGCAGUGAAUUGGUCAUCUGGCCAAUUUUAUUAUCACAGAGCCAGCCAGCAACAAUCCAUACCAGAUUUUUUCGUGUGUGCUAGAGCAUAAUCAACAAAACCAAGGCUUUUGGCAGAUCUGUGCUUUUUGCAGUGUUCCUCCCAAGUUCUGCAGAUCUCCUUAUUUACAGAAUUCCUAGCAAGGGACCAGGAAGAUCUUGGCCUAAUGGAGCAGACGGGUGAUUGUGGAAGAGGAUACAUCCUACCGUUUUUCAGUUCUGACUGGUUCUUUCUUCUCUGUAGAACAAGAGGUGUAAUACUCUUGUAAUUUUCGAAAGGCUUUUGAUUAUGCAAAGAUCUCAUUGUGACAGCUAAUAUGGUGGUGAUGUUGAUGGCACUAGAA
rnacentral:lncRNA from 1 species